GGGAAUCAUGGCUUAACCAAUUGGAUACACACAUUUUGGGGGGACACAAUUCAAUCCACGACACCUAUCAUAAAGAAAGGAAUAGCUAAGAGCAUAAGACAGAGCAGGAGGGUUUGCCCCAGCACUUGUCAAAGCUUUGCCAUGCCUCAGACCUAGCUCCUCAGCUAACAUCUAGUAACUGUGUGACCUUGGGCAAAUUGUUUAUUCAAUAUGUGAUGCCAUUUUUUCAUCUUUAAAAUAAAGGUAAUAAUAGCUGCCCUACAAACAUCAAAUAAAAUAAUUUAUGAAGGCACUUUGAAAACUGUAAAGCAGUUUAACAUUUGCAUAUUGUAAUUAUAUAUAUUGCAUACGGUUGUAUAAUAUUGUCAUUAUAUUAUUACUAUCAAACAUAAUUAUUAAAUCUCAGAACAAACAACAAAAGCCCUGAGAAGCUGAGGAAACAAAUAGCAGACAAGCCUCCAGUACAAACAGAGAAGGAUAAAUUCACAGUGGGAACAUGGAAUAAGGACAAGUAAGGUGAAGUGCAGGCUGUUUAUAUUUUGGGAGGUUUUACUGGAAGUGCAUGUGCCGGAAAACACAGCUUUCAAGCCAAUGAGCAUAAUCAUGGAAUUUCUUGCCAAGAAUGAGAUCUUAGAGGAGGGGACUUCCAAGUUUUUCUUUCUUUCACAAUUUUAGGGUUUUUUCGGGCUUUGUUUUUGUUUUAAAUAAGGUGUAAGAUCUGGGACUACAUUCCACUUCUUGCAAAUUGUGCACAGCAAGUGUGCGGUGACCUUUUUUCCCCCUCAGAUUUUUAUCUCCUGUACAUUCCCAUGGAGUCUACAGGAAUCAACAUCAACAGCAGACCCCGGGAGCCAUCAGAGAUGAGAGAGAAAGAAAGAAUUCUCUGUGAAAUAGGACGUUCAUCACACGAUCCAGGAGAGAGAAGAAUUUCACACUGACUUAAAGAAAAAGCAUCUUUAUAUAAUGACUCCUUUAAUUAAAAAGGAUAUAAAAGUGUGUUUAAAGAGAUCGAUUGAAUUUUUCAUUUUAAUGGUAUAUUACUCUGUGAUUUUUUUAUGAUAACAUAAACGAGUCCUUAGAAUGCUGUUCUGACUUGUGUAAUGAUAAUAGAUAAGGUCCAAAAUGACAUUCCAGCAUACUCCCCCACAAAAUAGCCUUUCAUUGA